rnacentral:rRNA from 1 species
AUGGGAGCUUGCUCCCUGAUCUUAGCGGCGGACGGGUGAGUAACACGUGGGCAACCUGCCCUGCAGACUGGGAUAACUCCGGGAAACCGGAGCUAAUACCGGGUAAUACAUCGCACCGCAUGGUGCAAUGUUGAAAGUUGGCUUUCUGAGCUAACACUGCAGGAUGGGCCCGCGGCGCAUUAGCUAGUUGGUAAGGUAAUGGCUUACCAAGGCGACGAUGCGUAGCCGACCUGAGAGGGUGAUCGGCCACACUGGGACUGAGACACGGCCCAGACUCCUACGGGAGGCAGCAGUAGGGAAUCUUCCGCAAUGGACGAAAGUCUGACGGAGCAACGCCGCGUGAGUGACGAAGGCCUUCGGGUCGUAAAGCUCUGUUGUUAGGGAAGAACAAGUACCGUUCGAAUAGGGCGGUACCUUGACGGUACCUAACCAGAAAGCCACGGCUAACUACGUGCCAGCAGCCGCGGUAAUACGUAGGUGGCAAGCGUUGUCCGGAAUUAUUGGGCGUAAAGCGCGCGCAGGCGGUCUUUUAAGUCUGAUGUGAAAGCCCACGGCUCAACCGUGGAGGGUCAUUGGAAACUGGAGGACUUGAGUGCAGAAGAGGAGAGUGGAAUUCCACGUGUAGCGGUGAAAUGCGUAGAUAUGUGGAGGAACACCAGUGGCGAAGGCGGCUCUCUGGUCUGUAACUGACGCUGAGGCGCGAAAGCGUGGGGAGCAAACAGGAUUAGAUACCCUGGUAGUCCACGCCGUAAACGAUGAGUGCUAGGUGUUUGGGGGGGUUCCACCCUCAGUGCUGAAGUUAACACAUUAAGCACUCCGCCUGGGGAGUACGACCGCAAGGUUGAAACUCAAAGGAAUUGACGGGGGCCCGCACAAGCAGUGGAGCAUGUGGUUUAAUUCGAAGCAACGCGAAGAACCUUACCAGGUCUUGACAUCCUCUGACAAUCCUGGAGACAGGACGUUCCCCUUCGGGGGACAGAGUGACAGGUGGUGCAUGGUUGUCGUCACCUCCUGUCC